ACACGCAUGACACACUGCAUAUCAAUAAGCGGAGGAAAAGAAACUAACAAGGAUUCCCUUAGUAACGGCGAGUGAAGCGGGAAGAGCUCAAAUUUGAAAUCUUCAAGGUUUUACCUUGACGAAUUGUAGUUUAAAGAAGUGUUUUUCUGUUGGAGUUUUGGUAAAAGUUCUUUGGAAUAGGACAUCAUAGAGGGUGAGAAUCCCGUAUUUGACCAUUAUUUCCAGCUGUGUGAUACACUUUCAAAGAGUCGGAUUGUUUGGGAAUGCAGUCCAAAAUGGGUGGUAAAUUUCAUCUAAAGCUAAAUACUGGCGAGAGACCGAUAGCGAACAAGUACCGUGAGGGAAAGAUGAAAAGAACUUUGAAAAGAGAGUUAAACAGUACGUGAAAUUGUCAAAAGGGAAGCGUUUGACACCAGUGUUGUUUUCUCGAAAAUCAAUUAAAAAAGGCCGGAUUUUGUGUUGUAUUGACCUUAAAAGCUUUCUUCACUCUUUUCUUGUCUUUUUUAAUGCACUUUUCGUUUAACAAGUCAACAUCAGUUUCUUUUGUUGUAAAAGGGUCAUUGGAAGGUGGCUUUCUUUUCGGAGAAAGUGUUUAUAGCCUUUGAUCUCUGCAACCGGAGAGACUGAGGUCUGCAGCGUAGACUCUUCGGGGUUAGAUACAUUUGUGCUAAGCUAUAGCUUUUUAUAGACAACUUGUUGACUAUAUUUAGUCUUGUGGCUUACUCGCUUAUGCUAUUUUACCUACGCUUAGGAUGUUGAGCGCAUGUCUCUCUCU
rnacentral:rRNA from 1 species